rnacentral:lncRNA from 1 species
UUCCACAAGAGUCUACCCAACCUCAUAGCUUAACAACAACAAAAGAAAACUAUCCAAUAAUAUUAAAGCAAGAGAGAAUGACUGAGUUUGUGUAAUAAACUUUAGUCAUCAAAUUAAUUACUUCUAAGACACUAAGAAUGGUUGAGAUGGAUUUGAGUCAAUUUAUAGUUCUAUUCAACUCAUAUGUGUUCAUGACAUGCGAAUAUCCAUCAUGUUCAGGGAUUUCAUCUCUUUAAAAAAGGUUAUCGCGCCUUGAUUGAAUCUUAUUUAAUUGAAGUAUCUGUCAUUGUGCAGAUGUCUUUUAACGUCCAAAAUAUGUUACUUCAUCAUCCAUUGGUUCAAAUACACAUCUGUCCCUUUAUAUCUUGUAUGUAAUCGUUGUAUACUUCUAUAAUAACUGAGGAUAUGUUUAAUCAAGAUGAGUAAUUCUGGAAUGAAAUGUACAGAGAGGAACAAAGAGACUUAUCAUCCUUCAUCUACAUCUCUUCCAUUGAAACACCUUCCAAUGUCUACUCAAUUUCGUCUCCUAAUAUUCUUAGAAAACUCUUACAUCGAUUUGAGUCUUUAAAUGCCAUUGAUGUCCAUAUCAAAGAAACAACUCAUAUCUAUGACACUGAAUGCAUUUAUAAGGCUGAAUUAUUUCUGUAAUUCUAGACACUUCUUCCUCGCUUCCGAUUCCAUUAUUACUUGUGAGUCUCUUCGGCCAUUGGAAAAAAAUAGAAAACGAUCCUGGACCAUGAAUUUAAUAUGGUCCUCUUUUUAGAUAUCUUUAUCAGCAAAGCAAGGCAUAUUCAACUCUCCUAAUACCUACAUAUAUGCAUAAAUAGUUCAUAGAAACUCUUAGGUAAUAAACAUGUUAAUAAAUUAACGGUAAUCUUAUAACUUUAGUAGAGCUAUAUUAGAAAAUAUGAAUUUCAGUUAAUUUACUUUUUAAGUUAGUGAGGCGGAAGUCAUUUUCUGAAUUACUAAAUCACUUGUGAUAUUUAAAUAUCACUCGAUUGUGAGGAUUUAGGAUCUCCAAAUCAAUAUUUAAUAAAAUAAAUUACGUAUUACACUAAAUGCUUAUAAUGUAACAAAACUGUAUAUAAGAACAAUUAUUUUAGUAUUUAUUAACACUUAUUAAUAGAUUAUGUUCUUUGAGAAUUGUAAAGUAUAUUAAUAUCACAUUAACAGUUGAAAUUAUUUUCUUAUUGAUAAAUUGUAAAUAAUAGUGUAAUGCAAAUAUGUAGUGAGGCCACUUGAAAUGAGGCUAGAAGGAUUUUUUCUCAAAAAAGAGUAGAAUGGAUUUGUAUCCUUCAAUAAAUUAUCUUCCAUUUCUUUUAAUAAAUUACUUUGAUUAGCCUUACAAAGGCCACCUUAUUCCUACGUAAAGAUGACGAUGAAAUUUACGGUCACUAUAAAAUAAAAAUAAAACACGGUGUUCCAGAUUUAAUUUUCUUUUCACAAUUGUGGUGUCUCAACAUACACAUAUUAUUGAACAAAAAUCAAGAUAAGGAAAAAAUCACAAUUUUUUUUUGUAUUACAAUAAUUUUUGAUAACGUAAUUAUACUAUUUUCGCGAUUCGAUACUAGGAUUUAAUUAUGAACAGAGUGUUUGACCCGCUAUUCUUUAAUGAAAUAUCUAAUUUGGACAUUUUUAUUGAAUAAAAUCAUCUUUUUCAUUUCUUUGAGAUUCGUAGUCGAUAUUAAAGAGUAAAAAUCUCUUUUGACUAUUGUAUACUUCAACUCACAACUUGAAAUACAAAUAAUAAUAGAAAAGUCUUGACCGUUUUCUUCCCUCUUCUCCCAAUGCCUUCCAAUAAUUCCAAUGAAUCCCUUCUUUUCAAUUUCUACUCUAGCAUUUGGCAAUAUAAUUGUAUUAUUAUUCUGAGGAAUAUCAAAUAUGAGUUAGGAUCUAAUCCACAAAUUACUCUUUAGAGGAUUAAGAGGAAAGUGAUUCUUAAUUCUAAGCAUGUAAUAAGUAUUUAUUGAAGCACCUGAGAGAAUAUUUCAGCGUUUAUAAUUUUGUUGAUGUAUUCAAUGUGGGAUUAUUAAUUAUAGUAGAUUUUUUUUUUAAGACAGUUAUUUUUUUUUUUUUUUGCACUCCUGUAUAAUAAAAUAACUGUCAAUAUUCAGAAGAAAAAUUACGGAGUUGAAGAGAGGAAGAAAAUGUACAGGAGUUGACUUUAGAGUUACUUUGUUUUAGUAAUUUAAAGAAUUGAAUGACGAUACUUUGGAUUAUAUUCGGUUAUGGGAUUACCAUAAGACCAAUUAAAUAAUGUAUAAUAUAAUCUUAUAUAAUUAAUUCUAUUUUAUUGCUUAAUCUCCCACGUGUAUAUCUCUACUCAUAACACAAUAAUAAUACUCAUGAAUAUUGAUAGAAUGUUCUAGUGAUCGUCAGAGAUGUUCUCUGACGUCAGAGCGUCGUAUAAUUAGGGAUGAGGCGAUAGCUCACAAGCCGAGCUCUUAACGUCUAUCCUCAUAUUGGUAAUAUUUCUUCUAAUCAUCCAUUUGAUGUUAUUCCUUUUUUACUAUAAACUCAAUUAAAUAUAUAUUACUUGUGAGUCCUUGAUCUUUGUUUAAUUAGAGAAAGAAAUUAAUAUGGAAUAUAGUUUAUGAUUAUUGAGCAUUCAGAUUUCCCUAUGUAUGUAAAGUGUUUAAGGAUUCGAUUAAUCUGUGCAAGAGGAUCAAUUAUUUGGAGAUUUCGGUUUUGUGUCCAUAACAUUCAUCUCAAUGUGUUCUACUCAUUACACAGGUUUUAAUUUUUAAACAUAUAUAUACAUAUAUAUUUGCUACAGAACCUCGCCGUCAAAAAAAUUGUUAGUGUUGUCAAAGAUUAUGGAAUAACUCUUGGGAAAGGAUAUCCUACCUUAGUCGAGGCUACAUUACUUAUUUUUCCAUCGACUGUGAGCAUGAGGAAUUGUACUCGGAACCAGGAAAUCCCGGAGCAUUAGGAGUGGGACUUGGAUCUGAACACUGAAUAGGUGGAUUCAAAUACAGCUCCGAUAAUUGGAUUUUUACUCUUUUCUUGAGUUAUAUUUAGAAUGAAUUAUUAAAUUUUUAUAUGGAAUAUGAAGAGGAUCUAAAUGAAGAUGCAAAAUAAUUAAUGGGAAUUAUGAAUAUAGUACUAUGUAGGUUUUAUUGAUGAUAACCUCGACGAAAAUGUGUAGUGGCAUCAUUCAUCAGUACACAUUUAAGUUAUGCGUACAAAUGUCAACAUAACAGAGGUUUUAUAUACCAUGAAUGGAUAACGUUAUCCUUGUUGUUUUAUUGAUUGCAUCACUGUUUUCAUCCAUACCAUUGAGACUGAAUUAAAGUGAUCGACGUAGUAAUCAAUUGUUUUUGUUCAUCAGAAUAAAGAAACUAAAUGUUUACUCCAGAGAUAUCGUAGUUUCGUCUGAGACAAGAGGAUAAUUAUUCCUACAAGUUCUUUCUUAAUCUUUCACAACAAUACUUUACUUUAGGACUCUAUUGACUUGGGAGUAGCAAUGAUGUAGCGAAAAGGAAUGGCUUUAUCAGUAUAAAGUUCCAUAAAUUUUACAAGAUUGGGAUGACUUUCAAUGAGGACUGGGAAAGUGUAUGUAACAUGCAUCAUGUUUAUAUCCGACAUAAAAUUAGAAGCAUUAGGACUUGAUUCAAAUAUUUUAUUUGAAUAAAAUUUCAAAUUAUUAUCGUGAAUACGACUUUUAUUAUGUUGUUGAAGUUCGAAUUUUCUAAUAGCUUGACUCAAAAAGUUACAAAGGCCACGUGACACAAUUCUAAAAGCAUUUACAUAAAUCUAGACUUUUUCUCCUUCACUAUCGGCAAAAAAGAAUUAAAAUUAAUAUUUAUGUAUAUAAGUUAUAUAAUAUAAUUGAAUGUUAUUUAAUGUUAGAAAAUAACAUAUAAUUAUUAGUUAUAUUUAUUUUUUCAUGUUAGACACAUAAUAUUUUGUUUGAAACGUGUUAGAAUUCAUCAUAAGAAAAGUAAGUAAUAUUGGAAUUUUAGGUACAAAAGUUAUAAAAUAAAUACAUUGAAAAAAAUGAAA